CGUGAAGUUGACCGCCUGGGGAGUACGGUCGCAAGAUUAAAACUCAAAGGAAUUGACGGGGACCCGCACAAGCGGUGGAUGAUGUGGAUUAAUUCGAUGCAACGCGAAAAACCUUACCUACCCUUGACAUGUCUGGAAUUCCGAAGAGAUUUGGAAGUGCUCGCAAGAGAACCGGAACACAGGUGCUGCAUGGCUGUCGUCAGCUCGUGUCGUGAGAUGUUGGGUUAAGUCCCGCAACGAGCGCAACCCUUGUCAUUAGUUGCUACGAAAGGGCACUCUAAUGAGACUGCCGGUGACAAACCGGAGGAAGGUGGGGAUGACGUCAAGUCCUCAUGGCCCUUAUGGGUAGGGCUUCACACGUCAUACAAUGGUCGGGACAGAGGGUCGCCAACCCGCGAGGGGGAGCCAAUCCCAGAAACCCGAUCGUAGUCCGGAUCGCAGUCUGCAACUCGACUGCGUGAAGUCGGAAUCGCUAGUAAUCGCGGAUCAGCAUGUCGCGGUGAAUACGUUCCCGGGUCUUGUACACACCGCCCGUCACACCAUGGGAGUGGGUUUUACCAGAAGUAGUUAG
rnacentral:rRNA from 1 species